UAAAAGAAAUCCACGUGCCUCUGCCUCCCAAAUGCUCAGAUUAAAGGCGUGCACCACCAUGCCCAGGUAGUAAAUUUCUUUAUGAUACAUUAUUAGUAAUCGUAUGAUCUGUGUGACUAUGCAAGUAUAUCUAACUAUCUGGGGUCACACAAAAAUUUCCUGGGUUGAGAGUGGUUUGGGAAGGGUGAUGAGUAGAAACAGAAGCCUGAUGAAGCUUGCUGUGGGUUGUUUAACAAUGCAUAAUUACUGUGGAUCCCAGGAGCUCUGGCAAGUCUUGAACCAGAAGUAAUGUACACCAGAUCGCUCUGACUUUCUCCAGGACACUUGCACAGUCACAGUGUGCUCUCCAGAACUCACAAGCCUCCUAGUUCAUGUGUGCUCAGUACCAUUCCAAAAGACCAGCAGCAGCCAUGUCCAAACGGCACAAGUAACAGAAUCCAGCAAUUAAGGAAGUUGCUGCAGAGGUCCUGAGGUCACAUAUGACCCCCUCCUCCAGGGCCAGCAGGGACGAGAUAGGGGGAUGGGGAGACAUCAAGUAACUCUCUUGGGAAGUCUGCUUGGGCUCCAGAGAUAGGUGCCGGGCGCCCCUGGGCCUGGAGGACACUUACUGUGAACAUAUGAGAGUUCAUAUCAUCAAUGGUGACAAUGUUAGUAUUAAUAAAGGUGGGCUUCCUGCCUCCCCCUCCCCCUGCCCCCCACCAUGAGCAAUCAAAAGUUCAGAAGUGGCUCCCAACAGCUUUCCAUCCUCACUGAAUAGUAGCUGCCCUGCCACGAUGAAGCAUGACAGUUUGAGGUCUCUCCUUCUUUUUGUUAAUUGGUACCAUUUCAUAAAGACAGCCUGCCUCUCCAUCCUCUUUCUAAGGUAUUAUUUUAGAUCUGUGCAUACAUUCAAAUUGUGCCACAUUUAGCCGGCAGGAGCACUCUCUUGUCAGCCAUUCUUGCAUGCUUCUACAUUGUCUUUGGGCACAUCCUUAUUCUGAGAUUGGAAGACACUCGAGCUGACUUUGUCCCAUCUCUCACGGUGGUCUGGACCUGUCACUUCUCUCUUGGUAGAGACUGGUGUUUAGAACUCAAACUCGGGGUUCUCAUUACUGUCUGGUGCCACUAGGGAGACAAGAAAUACAUUUUUUAAAGUCAUGUAUCUACCUGGUGAAGCCUUUACCUUCAAUCCAGUGUCUGUUGGGUCACCCUCAGAUCCCCACAGCCCUGUAAGUUCACUUCUCCUUUCCCAUACAGACAUUUCCCAACACCUAUACAUGUACGCAGUCAUCCAUUCUUACAACUGGCAAACUAUUUUUGUAAGGGCCACCCCACUGCUGCUUCUGAAAAGAAAGACAUCAAGCAAUACUCAGCGUGUCUUUGCAGCUCCCUUGUCUUAAGAUGUCUCUCUCUGGGAAGAGUCCAGAGAAAACCCCCAAAGCCCAAUGAAUUGCAGUAUGCCUGUGGGGUGAUAUCAAUAUGAUAGACGGCUUCCUCCCCCCGCAUCUGCUUCUGAUCAAAAGCUAAUAAAUAACAAAUAAAUCAAAGUGGAAGAGAGUGUCUUUGCAGAAAGCACUUGGGGACUAUCUCCCAGGGCAUUAGAAUGGAGAUUUUAACUUCAGUUGAAGAGAUGGAUGUGAUGAAAACUGGGCCAGACUUCCAGAGGGUGAGUUCUCGGACUUUUCUCCACAGUUCUUCUAAGCAAUCUUAAAUAAGGGUGGGGAUGAACCCUGAGGUAGGUUCUGGGCAAACUGGGAAAAUAAAAAUGUUGUUUGGUGACGAGCUGGUGGAGCACCUUGUGAGUUCAAUAGAUCAAAAUUCAAAGCGGGUGCUGAAUGUCCAGCCUGAUUGGGUUAUGUGUUGAGGGCUACAGCCUUGCUUCCCAGAUGCUGAGGCUUUGGGGAAGUGAAGAAUGCUGAGGCUGUGUGUGUGUGUGUGUGUGUGUGUGUGUGUGUGUGUGUGUGUAAGAGACAGGGAGAGGGACAGGGGCAGGGAAGGGAAGAGAGAUCAUGGAUAUGCACAUCUGUGAAGGCCAGAUGACAACCUCAGGUGUGGUUCCUCGGGUGCUGUGUGUGUGUGUGUGUGUGUGUGUUGUGUAUGGCACUGAUGCACAUGUGUGCACAUGAAUGGCCUUAGGCUGAUAUUCUGAGUCUCCCUCGGUCGCUCUCCAGCUUAUUCAUUGAGACAAGUCUCUGAAAUGAUCCCAGAGGUUGACUCUCCCAUCCAAUGUAGCUAGCCAAAUUCUCCAGGGAUCCCUGACUUAAACAAGUUCUGGAAUUACAAGUGGUCACCAAGCCUACUGGGUAUUUACAUGGGGUAGGGGUCAGGUCCUCACACUAUGAGACAAGUACCUUAUUCACGGAGUCAUUUCCCAGGCCCUGCUUUCUUGUUCUUCUUCAGACAGUCUCCUAUUGGCCGAGAGUUCACCAAGGAGCCGAGGUCAGUUGGCCAAUGAGCCCCUGGGGUCUGCCCGAUGACAUAAUGCCAAACUUUGGUCAUGAUAGAUAGUGGUGUGUGUGUGUGUGUGUGUGUGUGUGUGUGUGUUAUGAGUGCAGGUACCCUCAGAAGUCAGGAGAUGGCAUUAGAUCACACUUGAGCAGAAGUUAUAGGUGGUGUGAGCCAUCCAAUGUGGGUGAUGAGAUUCAAGUUUGGGUCCUCUCAUAGAUUGAUGGAAAUGAAGAGUUGGCUUUGGUCAAAGGAACUGGGUCACCAGGAUAUGCAUUAGGGAUGAGCCUUACCCUGACCCCUUUCUGUCACUCCCUGUCUCCAGCCCACCACAAGGUGAGUUGCUUUGCUCUACCAUGGACCCUUGGACAUGGAGCUCCGCCUCACCAUGGUGGGUCUAGAAGCAACAGAGCAAGAGACCAUGAAUUGAAACCUUUGAGACCAUGAAUCAAAAUGAAUACUUCUCCUCUUAAGUUGUUCUCAGAUAUUUUAUCAUCACGAUGGAAAGUACUAUACCCCUGGUAUGUUUUCUGUUGCUAUAACAAAGUCCCCAAGGCUAGGUUCAUUACAUAGAAAACGAGUUUAUUUGGCUCACUGUUCUCAAGUUCCAAGAGCACAGUGACAGCAUCUGGUUGACUACAGCAGGGUCAUAGCAGAUGGCCUCACAGCAGAUGGUCUCGUGGUUGUGGGAAUGCGUUUGGAAAAGGGAUUCAGGGCAGGUGCCAAACCUGAUUAUAUCAACCCAUUUCCUCCAGAACUAAUCCAGUCCAACAGACAGACUUAAUCCAUUCACGAAGCUUGAAAAGCCAUGACCUAAUUACCUUUCACUGGUCCCCAUGUCUUUAAUGUCUCACCACUGUAGCCCACACACAGGAACAAGCCUGAAGCACCUAGCCUCUCAGGGACAUACAUCCAAGUGAUGCCGAAGCCAAUGUCCACUGGGUGUUCAGACUUACCGAGCAUUUUAAACUGGUUACUGCACAACUGUGCCUAUUGAGGGUGGCUGGCAGAAGCUUCCAGGCUUUGGCAAUUUCUCUCUGGGAUGACUGUCAUUAUCCCAUGAGGACUCUGCAGCUGUGUUUGGUUGACAAACUAUUGUGACCAAAGUUUGGCAGCCGUAUUUUCCCUAAAUGUAAUAACACAGGAGAUCAAUUAACAUUCAUGCAAAUCCCACUAUUGUAAAAAGAUUUUAUUUUUGUGUGUGUGUGUGUGUGUGUGUGUGUGUGUGUGUGUGUGUACAUGAGUGCUAGUGUCCUUGGAGGUCAGAAGCAUAGGAUCCCUUGGAGCUGGAGUUACAGGUGGUCAUGAGUCACCUGACACAGUGCUAGAACCCAAACUCAGGUCCUCUGUUGGAACAAGACAUGCUCUUAACUGCUGAUGAGCCAUCUCUCCAGACCCAGGUUCCAUCAUUUUCAAACACUGUAAGAGUUCUUUAACUGAGAUCCUAGCAAUGCUAUUUCUCCCUGAGAGGUGACUGUGGGGAAAGCUGAAUGGGCAACAGAAUUAAAACAUCCCAACUAAAGUGUCUCCAGCUCUGCAAGCAGCCAACUGCCUGUGUCCUGUGAAUUCAGCCUGUUGACCCCGAACCCCCCUGCUUCUCGAACCUACCUAGCUACUAUUCAUCAUCUUGUGUUUCCUUGGGAACCAUUGAUAAGAUUUCAAAACACUUCAAAACAAUAUAACUGUUCUCUGGAGAUGUUUCCAUGGUUGCGGGGGAAACACGGUUCUCUUUUUGGCUGCAGGAAGGGAAAGAGUGGAGACUCCCACACCACAAACAAAACUGUAUCUCCAAGACCAGCUCACCUCAGGGUGUGUAGACCCUCAGGGAGGUCCAGUCCUGUAAGGUGGAGUCCAGCCUCUGCCUUCUUGUUGCUUACUAUACAGGGCCAGAGGCUGUGAAAUCAUUUUCACUUCCUCCAAUAUGACUAGAGACUGAAACUCUAGGGAGACAUGUGCCCUCGAACUGUGUAGCUCUUGGGUCUCUGUCUCUGCCUCACUUCUCUGUUUCAGUCCCUAUCGUCUCUCUCUCUCUCUCUCUCUCUCUCUCUCUCUCUCUCUCUCUCUCUCUCUCUCUCUCCCUACCCUAGUCUGUAUCUUGUAAUUAUCCAAGAUCAAGGAGAAAAUGAGCAAAGCUUUGAAGAAUGGCAGACCCAGGACUUUGGAUCUGGCUCCCCAAAUCCCUCUGUCUCAGUUAGGAUAACUAUUGCUGUGAUGAAACACCAUGACCAAAAAAAAAAAAAAAAAGCAAGUUGGGAAGAAAGGUAUCUAUUUGGCUUACACUUCUGCAUUGUAGUCCAUCAUUGAAGGAAGUCAGGACAGGAAGUAACACAGGGCAGCUGAUGCAGAGGCUAGGGAGUUCUGCUUGCUAGUUUGUCCCCUAUGGCUUGAUCAUCCUGCUUUCUUAUAUAACCCAGGACCACCAGCCCAGGGAUGGCAUUGCCCACAACCGGCUGGGUCUGCCCACAUCAAUCACUGAUUAUAAAAACGCUCCACAGGUUUCCCUACAGCCCGAUCUUGUGGAGGCAUUUUCUUAUUGAGGUUCCUUCCUCUCAGAUAACUUUAGCUUGUCUCAAGUUGACAUAAAACUAGCCAGCACACCCUCCAAAUGAAAAGAUGUACCCUGUAUGCAUAUGGACAGUGGCUGGCGUGAGAUUUUUUUGAGUCAGGCUGAUCUAGUUGAGCCUCGUCUUAACGUUUUUCAGGGAAGGUGUAGCACAGCCUUGGCUCCUGCGUGGCUCUUGCCCGGGACUAAGGUAGAACCUUUCAGACUGUUUACUGAAUGCCCUGCUUGCUUGGUGAGGUCUUCUGCCUGGCUGGGCAGAUUUUGUGUUCUAGCAACUGUCCAACAUACUGACUGCACAGUUCUUCCCUCCCCAGGUAGAUCUGGGCUGUCCAGCACAGUGACAGUGUGGUCCAAGUACCAGUGGGUCCACAAAGCCCUUCACUUUGACAAAGCUGGGCCAUAAAGCUGCAGGGAGUGGCCCAGCUGAGAAGUUCACUGGCAGUUUGACGGGUGCUUCAGGACUGUGGGCUGCUGUGUCUGAAGUACCAUAACCUCAAGAGGCUGGCUGCUGUCACAAAGAGGGGGGCCUGCAAUGGGACUUGAGAACAUCACAGGGACAGGAAAUCGCCUGCCUCAGGGACCUUCCUGCAUGUCCUAGACACCUAUCUAGUCACUUGAAGAUUUUCCCUCUGGCUGCUCCUGCUGCCCUUCUGCUGCCCUACUGCUGGUGAGGGGACUUCCUCCCUGCUUGAGUACCUAGUUAGGAGGCAACCCAACAUUCGUUCUCAGACCCUGAGAGUUCCCAGCAAAAGACUGGAAGAAAGACCUCCCGGCUCUCCAAACCAUGAAGAGCAUAACCAGGGCGAGGUCUGCCUGGGGCCGGGCUGAUGGAGCUGUUUGUUGAUGUCAAAAGCAGAAAAAGACAGGCUGUGCCCAAAACUGGGACUUUGGCUGUGCCUGCAAAUAAAUUGAGAACAUUUGGUUAUUUUA